AGUUUCUUUCAAGCUACUCCAAUGAAGAAUCAGCUGAACUCCCACUACAUUCCAGAUUGAUAUAAUUAGGUAAAUCUUUAUGUUACGGCUUAACUAAACCACAUCCAACUAAAAUAAGCACCUUAACGAAACCAUGUUUGAGUUUGAAGAAAUUAGAAUAGAAGAAGAAGGCUUCUCCUUUGAAAACAGGAAGAGAGGAGGCAUGUCAUCUUUAAAUGACUUGGAUUUUUCUCAAAUCUAGUUCUUAUUGCAAAUGCAAUCUAAAGGGACUG
rnacentral:lncRNA from 1 species